GCCACGGUGGUCUAGCGGUUAGAACGAUGGCCUCGUAAUCCUGGAGUCUCGGGUUCGAUUCCCGGCGGUGCCC
rnacentral:tRNA from 1 species